rnacentral:tRNA from 1 species
GGGCUCGUAGCGUAAUGGUAUCGCACCACCCUUGCAAGGUGGGGGUUUCGGGUUCAAGUCCCGACGAGUCCA